rnacentral:rRNA from 1 species
AUGAACGCUGGCGGCGUGCCUAAUACAUGCAAGUCGAGCGAACAGAUGAGGAGCUUGCUCCUCUGACGUUAGCGGCGGACGGGUGAGUAACACGUGGAUAAACUACCUAUAAGACUGGGAUAACUUCGGGAAAACGGAGCUAAUAACGGAUAAUAUAUUGAACCGCAUGGUUCAAUAGUGAAAGACGGUUUUGCUGUCACUUAUAGAUGGAUCCGCGCCGCAUUAGCUAGUUGGUAAGGUAACGGCUUACCAAGGCAACGAUCCGUAGCCGACCUGAGAGGGUGAUGGGCCACACGGGAACUGAGACACGGCCCAGACUCCUGCGGGAGGCAGCAGUAGGGAAUCUUCCGCAAAGGGCGAAAUCCUGACGGAGCAACGCGGCGUGAGGGAUGAAGGUCUUCGGAUCGUAAAACUCUGUUAUUAGGGAAGAACAAAUGUGUAAGUAACUAUGCACGUCUUGACGGUACCUAAUCAGAAAGCCACGGCUAACUACGUG